rnacentral:rRNA from 1 species
AUACGUAGGGGGCUAGCGUUAUCCGGAAUUACUGGGCGUAAAGGGUGCGUAGGUGGUUUCUUAAGUCAGAAGUGAAAGGCUACGGCUCAACCGUAGUAAGCUUUUGAAACUAAGAGACUUGAGUGCAGGAGAGGAGAGUAGAAUUCCUAGUGUAGCGGUGAAAUGCGUAGAUAUUAGGAGGAAUACCAGUUGCGAAGGCGGCUCUCUGGACUGUAACUGACACUGAGGCACGAAGGCGUGGGGAGCAAACAGGAUUAGAUACCCUGGUAGUCCACGCCGUAAACGAUGAGUACUAGCUGUCGGGGGUUACCCCCCUCGGUGGCGCAGCUAACGCAUUAAGUACUCCGCCUGGGAAGUACGCUCGCAAGAGUGAGACUCAAAGGAAUUGACGGGG